UAAAAAUUGUAGCCAAACAAACCUAAACUACCAAAAAACAAAACAAACCAUUUAAUUUAAUAGUAUGGGCGAUAGAAAUUUACUAUGAGCAAUAAAAAAGUACCGCAAGGGAAAGAUGAAAUAAAAAUGAAAUAAAUAAUAAAAACAAAGAAAAGAAAAGACUAAACCCUGUACCUUUUGCAUAAUGGUCUAGUAAGUUCAACCUAACAAAAAGAAAUAAAGUUAGCCACCCCGAAACUAGGCGAGCUACUUAAGAGCAGCAUAAUCAGAGCUAACCCGUCUCUGUGGCAAAAGAGUGGGACGACUUUUAAGUAGAGGUGAAAAGCCUAACGAGCCUAGUGAUAGCUGGUUGCUUGAGAAAUGAAUAUUAGUUCAGCUUAAAGUAUUUUUAAUAAUUAAAAAUAAAUAUAGCACUUUAAAGUUAAUUAAUAGGGGUACAGCCCUAUUAAUAAAGGAUACAACCUACAUAAUGAAUAAAGAUUAUAUUAACAAAAGAAAUUAACCAUGUAGGCCUAAAAGCAGCCACCAUAAGAAAGCGUCAAAGCUCAACUUACAACCCUCCCCUUAUUAUACUAAUAAAAAAAAUCUAAAUUCACAAAACAUAUCAAGCCUAUCUACUAGUAGAUGAGUUUAUACUAGAAUGAGUAACAAGAACAAAUUCUCUACAUGCAAGCGUAAAUCAGAACGAAAAAAUCACUGAUAAUUAACAAUUUAAAAUACUCAUCAACGAGAAAAACACAUUAAAACAAUUGUUAACCCAACACAGGAGCAUUAAAAAAGAUUUAAAGAUUAAAAAGGAACUCGGCAAUCACAGAGCUCCGCCUGUUUACCAAAAACAUCGCCUCUUGCCCCCCUAAUAUAAGAGGUCCCGCCUGCCCAGUGAUUAAUUUUAACGGCCGCGGUAUCAUGACCGUGCAAAGGUAGCGUAAUCACUUGUCUUUUAAAUAAAGACCUGUAUGAAAGGCAAAACGAAAGCUCAACUGUCUCUUUAAUCUAAUCAGU
rnacentral:rRNA from 1 species